UGCCGUAGAGUGGGGGAUAACGUCUGGAAACGGACGCUAAUACCGCAUAACAUGAAGAGAUGGCAUCAUUUUUUCAUCAAAGGAGCGAUCCGCUUUAUGAUGGGCUCGCGCCCGAUUAGAUAGUUGGUGAGGUAAUGGCUCACCAAGUCGACGAUCGGCAGCCGGACUGAGAGGUUGAUCGGCCACAUUGGGACUGAGACACGGCCCAAACUCCUACGGGAGGCAGCAGUGGGGGAUAUUGCACAAUGGGGGAAACCCUGAUGCAGCGACGCCGCGUGAGUGAAGACGGCCUUCGGGUUGUAAAGCUCUGUCAACGGGGACGAUAAUGACGGUACCCGUGGAGGAAGCCACGGCUAACUACGUGCCAGCAGCCGCGGUAAUACGUAGGUGGCAAGCGUUGUCCGGAAUUACUGGGUGUAAAGGGAGCGUAGGCGGGAAGCCAAGUUGGAUGUGUAAUACCGCAGCUUAACUGCGGGGCUGCAUCCAAAACUGGUUUUCUUGAGUGAAGUAGAGGCAGGCGGAAUUCCUAGUGUAGCGGUGAAAUGCGUAGAUAUUAGGAGGAACACCAGUGGCGAAGGCGGUCUGCUGGGCUUUAACUGACGCUGAGGCUCGAAAGCGUGG
rnacentral:rRNA from 1 species